rnacentral:rRNA from 1 species
GGCCGUGUUAAGUCAGAUGUAGAAACGGCCCGGGGACCGUUUAACCGUACGGUAAGUUGCUAUUUAGUAAACGUCGGCGAGGCUAGAGUCUUGUAGAGGGGGGUAGGAAUUUCAGGUGUAGCGGUGAAAUGCGUAGAGAUCUGAAGGAAUACCAGUGGCGAAGGCGGCCCCCUGGACAAAGACUGACGCUCAGAUGCGAAAGCGUGGGGAGCAAACAGGAUUAGAUACCCUGGUAG